AUUGAACGCUGGCGGCAGGCCUAACACAUGCAAGUCGAGCGGAGCGGCGGACGGGUGAUUAAUGCCUAGGAAUCUGCCUGGUAGUGGGGGAUAACGUCAGGAAACGGGCGCUAAUACCGCAUACUAUCAGAUGAGCUUAGGUCGGAUGAGCUAGUUGGAGAGGUAAAGGCCUACCAAGGCGACGAUCCGUCACUGGGCUGAGAGGAUGAUCAGUCACGCUGGAACUGAGGCACGGUCCAACGUCCUACGGGAGGCAGCAGUGGGGAAUAUUGGGCAAUGGGCGAAAGCCUGAACCAGCCAUGCCGCGUGGGUGAAGAAGGUCUUCGGAUUGUAAAGCACGUUAAUUUGGGAGGCGUUACCAACAGAAUAAGCACCGGCUAACUUCGUGCCAGCAGCCGCGGUAAUAC
rnacentral:rRNA from 1 species